rnacentral:tRNA from 1 species
CCCCUGAUAGCUCAGCUGGAAGAGCGCAAGACUGUAAAUCUUGAGGUCCCUGGUUCGAUCCCGGGUCAGAGGA